CGGCGCGCAGGUGCCCAGAGACCCCGCCCUACCCAUGGUGAGGCAGUGGAAUCUCCGCGGGUCUGCCACGUUGUAGGUGGUGGUGGCGCAGACAGGUGCUCGAAAGCAACAGAGACGUUAAUUAUGAAUGCAGAAGGCAUGGUUCAGAAAGGAGUGAUGGCAGCCAAAGUUAACUGCGUCAUUGUUCUUCUGGAGGGGGCUUUUUACCUGUACUUUUUGAGAUCAGGCAAGGGCCUGUUGACAACUUAACAUGCCAAGAACCCAUCAAGUAAGGCAGGUAGAUGUUUAUGGCCUGGUCCUGGUCCUGGUGUAUUACCACAGCAUUGCUCAGAUUCCCAGUCUGAGUCAGAAUCCUAAGUGACUGUUCCACGUCACAGGAUGUUUGUUUGCGUUUGCUGAAGGACUUAAAGUGCUUGCAAAAUGGUCUGUCAUAUCCAUCUUCAGAAAGAAGAUUGCUCAUCUUUGAGAUCCCAUGUAGAUGG